rnacentral:rRNA from 1 species
AGUCGAGAGAACCUGCGCCGAAAAUAAUCGGGGCUAAAACACACCACCGAAGCUACGGAUUUCCUACUAAGUAGGAAGUGGUAGAGGAGCAUACUGCAAGGACGAAGCCAAAUCGAGAGAGAUGGUGGACGAAGCAGUAGAGAGAAUGCCGGAAUGAGUAGCGAGAUAUAUGUGAGAACCAUAUAGGCCGAAUAUCUAAGGUUUCCUGGGUGAAGCUAAUCUACCCAGGGUAAGUCGGGACCUAAGGCGAGGACGAGAGUCGUAGUCGAUGGACAACUGGUAGAGAUUCCAGUACUAUGUAUGAUCAGAACUGUGGGGACGCAGGAGGAUAGAUGGACCGCGGAAAGGGAAGACGCGGCCAAGCACAAAGGCGAGGUCAGUAGGCAAAUCCGCUGAUUGAUGUUGAAGUGUGACGGGGACUGAAAGAAAGUAAGGAAGUCAUUGAAUCCACACUGCCGAGAAAAGCCGCUAUUGUGUCAUACAUACCCGUACCGCAAACCGACACAGGUAGAUGAGGAGAAAAUCCACAGGCCGACGGGAGAAGUGUUGUUAAGGAACUCGGCAAAAUGACCCCGUAACUUAGGGAGAAGGGGAGCCACGAGAAGUGGUCACAGAGAAGAGGCUCAAGCAACUGUUUAGCAAAAACACAGGUCUCUGCGAAACCGAAAGGUGAAGUAUAGGGGCUGACACCUGCCCGGUGCUGGAAGGUUAAAAGGAGAGGUUCGGAGAAAUCCAAAGCUUUGAAUUCAAGCCCCAGUAAACGGCGGCCGUAACUAUAACGGUCCUAAGGUAGCGAAAUUCCUUGUCAGGUAAGUUCUGACCCGCACGAAAGGUGUAAUGAUUUGAGCACUGUCUCGACAACACGCCCGGUGAAAUUGAAGAACCGGUGAAGAUACCGGUUACCCGCAACAGGACGGAAAGACCCCAUGGAGCUUUACUGCAGCCUGAUACUGGGAUUCGAUGAUGUAUGUACAGGAUAGGAGGGAGACUAUGAAGGGAGUACGCCAGUAUUCCUGGAGUCGACGGUGGGAUACCUCUCUUACAUCAUUGGGUUUCUAACCUGCAUCCGUAAUCCGGAUGAGGGACAAUGUCAGGCGGGCAGUUUGACUGGGGCGGUCGCCUCCAAAAGAGUAACGGAGGCGCUCGAAGGUCUUCUCAGAAUGAUUGGAAACCAUUCAAAGAGUGUAAAGGCAAAAGAAGGCUUGACUGCGAGGCCGACGGGCCGAGCAGGUACGAAAGUAGGACUUAGUGAUCCGGUGGUAAUAAGUGGGAAUGCCAUCGCUCAACGGAUAAAAGCUACCCUGGGGAU